GGCUGAUGAACUUGUUGUGCUCAUUUUAAUUAUUUAAACUGAACUGAAAUAAGUUUUCUUUGUCCUUAAUUCUGUUCACCACAAUACACCAAAUGUCCCCUUUUCUAUGGCUUAUGAGUUUGCAUGUAGGGGUAAACCUAAUUUUUUUAACAUUCGUAAUGUUUGUGAUUGCAGAUGACACACAUUGAGGACCAUGAGCCGUUUGAACCAGCACCUGAGGUCACUGCGAGCAGUCAGCAGGUAUGUAAUUACUAGUGGAAAAAUUGUAUACCAACGGGAAAAGCCACAGCUUAAGAGACCCAUUUUGUUUUGAUGUGUUUAUUCUUUUAAAACAUUGAUAUGGUGUAAGUGUGCAGUUCUGACCAAUUUGCCUAUACUAUGUACAUUUUCAAAUUACUUACUGGGAACCAACAUGCUUUUAAAAACACUGAAUUGUCAUUUCAGCAGAGCCCGCCUGAGGACAAUGGCCAGCUUGAAGAUCGUCAUGUAACACUUGGCAAUCAGAAGGCACCCUGUGAUUUUGCACCUGCCAGAGCUGCUACAUCAAGUCAUGUGACUUAUGACAACCCUGGGUGUCUUCAAGGAUCGUUUGACCAGAGCAGCCACAUAUUCGGGGAAAAUGCAGGUAAGCAGUGUGCUACAAAUAGCAUAGCGGCGAUUAUGACCCACACCACCCAUAAUUUUUUUCUCAAAUGGAAAAAAAAAAACAUUCAUCAUAUUCUAAAACAAGGUAAUGGCUUGUACACAUCUAUGCUAGAAAAUAAGGAAAUCAGUGCAGCCAAAACCAGUGGGCAUAUUUUCAUUUCCGAGUUACCCAGACACUGCAAAUUAAACAAUAAAUCAUUUAGUUUGGAAUAUUUUGAUACACUCACUGGAAGUCUUGAUCAAAAGGAUGAUUAUGACGCUUCUUUGCAAAACAUAGCCAUGCCUUUAGAAGAGGCUAUUCAGAAGACACUGCUGCAGACAGACACAUGCUUGCUCAACAUCAAAGAAAGUGUCUGUGCCGUUUUCAAGGUCGAAACUGCUUUUGCAGUUUUCGAUCCUCAUUCUCGUAGUACUUGGGGUUCAGUUGCACCGGAUGGAACCAGCAUAGUAGCGCACUAUGCUACUGUGCAUGAGUUAUAUGAGCAUAUUGAGAACCUGGUCAAUUCCUUAUAUCAAAAUCAUCCACAUGCUUUUGAUAUCCCGAACAAGGUGUUUGAAGUCACUGGUGUGAAAGCUGUUGAGGUAAACUCACCAUUUACUGCUUUAACUGCACAGCCUGAAGCCAGCACUUCGGCACAUGACGGUACUUUGGACACUGACAGUGACUCUGAUCUCUGUGUCCUUUCGGUAACAGAUAGAAAUUCCCUUACAGUAAACGCGUCUUUUUCCCUUGAAACUGUGCAGCCUGUAGCAAACACUUCUACAUGUGACACAACUGUAAACAUUGACAGUGAUCCUCCAAUUCACACAGAGGGUGCAUCAGAUGUCUGUUUAAUUUCUGUAACAGAUAGCCCCAAUAUAAUAUUUACUGGAUUGACAUUAAGGGAAAAAAACAGGAUCUGCAACAAACUGAAUAUCGUACCAAGUUUAGAUCAAAAUAUUGUUGUACAAACCUUCGAUGUGGCACAGCCUGAACCAUGCCAAACAACAUCCAUUGAAGGUGACGGUAAUUGUUUCUUUCGUUCUCUUUCGUCUGUAUUGAGUGGUUGCGAGUCACAUCACAAGGCCUUUCGAAAGGCUGUAGUGAAUCACAUCUCAAAUAAUCCACUUCAUUACAUUACUUGUCUAAGACGGCAAUUUGUUUCUGUGGAGCAAUAUCUCAUGGACUCAAAAAUGAAGUAUGUUGGAUCUUGGGCAACAGAGUUGGAAAUACAAGCUUCAGCAGAUUUUCUCUGUGUUGAUAUUUACACAUACAGUCAACAGAAAUGGAUUACGUUUACGGCGAACAUUGAGCCAAUUUCAAGAAAAGCAAUAUAUCUGAAACACUG
rnacentral:lncRNA from 1 species